CGGGACGGGUGAGUAGUGUCUAGGGAAACUGCCUGAUGGGAGGGGGUAACUACUGGAAACGGUAGCUAAUACCGCAUAACGUCGCAAGACCAAAGAGGGGGACCUUCGGGCCUCUUGCCAUCGGAUGUGCCCAGAUGGGAUUAGCUAGUAGGUGGGGUAACGGCUCACCUAGGCGACGAUCCCUAGCUGGUCUGAGAGGAUGACCAGCCACACUGGAACUGAGACACGGUCCAG
rnacentral:rRNA from 1 species